CAGGUGAAGACGUUUAACGAGGGCUGUGUGAUGGUGAGGCAGCCAGCUCUGGAGCUGAUAUCUCACCUGAAGAGAGCCGACUACAGCAAGCCCACCCUGCGCUACCUACUCUAUGGGGUGAAGGGCAGUGGGAAGACCAUGUCUCUCUGUCAUACUGUCCACUACUGCUCCACACAGGGAUGGCUAGUACUACACAUACCAGAUGCCCACCUGUGGGUGAAGAACUGUAAGGA